GACGAACGCUGGCGGCGUGCCUAACACAUGCAAGUCGAGCGAGUGGAUCUCCUUCGGGAGUGAAGCUAGCGGCGGACGGGUGAGUAACACGUGGGCAACCUGCCUCAUAGAGGGGAAUAGCCUUUCGAAAGGAAGAUUAAUACCGCAUAAGAUUGUAGCUUCGCAUGAAGUAGCAAUUAAAGGAGCAAUCCGCUAUGAGAUGGGCCCGCGGCGCAUUAGCUAGUUGGUGAGGUAACGGCUCACCAAGGCGACGAUGCGUAGCCGACCUGAGAGGGUGAUCGGCCACAUUGGGACUGAGACACGGCCCAGACUCCGACGGGAGGCAGCAGUGGGGAAUAUUGCACAAUGGGGGAAACCCUGAUGCAGCAACGCCGCGUGAGUGAUGACGGCCUUCGGGUUGUAAAGCUCUGUCUUCAGGGACGAUAAUGACGGUACCUGAGGAGGAAGCCACGGCUAACUACGUGCCAGCCGCCGCCGUAA
rnacentral:rRNA from 1 species